ACUUUAAUUGAAGAGUUUGAUCAUGGCUCAGAUUGAACGCUGGCGGCAGGCCUAACACAUGCAAGUCGAGCGGUAACAUUUCAAAAGCUUGCUUUUGAAGAUGACGAGCGGCGGACGGGUGAGUAAUGCCUGGGAAUUUGCCCAUUUGUGGGGGGAUAACAGUUGGAAACGACUGCUAAUACCGCAUACGCCCUACGGGGGAAAGCAG
rnacentral:rRNA from 1 species